CGCCGCCAUUGAAAGAAUGCGGCGAGACGAGUGACAUGCCACCCUCAAACCAUCCAACCGUCGCUGCCAACCGGAAGAUUCCAGAAUAAAAUUACCGCCGGUGAAAAACGAACCUGACGAGUGACAAACUGCACGUAGCUACAAAUGCGAUCAAAAGACAUUUUUGGGGCGUAGGGGCGGGUGAGGGGGGGGGCAGAAUUCAGCAGAUUAGUCUCAGCUUUUCAUCAGGUCACGGAAUGCAAACAAACGGAAAAAUUUGAAGGUUCGGGGACCGGUUCGGCUGGAGUUACCUGUUGCACAUUCACAUGCAGAAGUGUAGAUCGUUUGGGAGCUUUUGUUCACAUC